rnacentral:lncRNA from 1 species
UGGGGUAAAAUGUCGGCUUAGCCAGCCCUUGCUUGUGUACUUGCUGGGCGCCAAAAGACCAGGGGAUCAGAUCGAACCUCGAGAAUGUAUGGGGAGAACCACCAAGACGCAGACCAUGCAGGCGCGCACCCAGGGCCCCAGCGCACGGACUCCCAGCAUGCCCCGGGAAGCAGGCCGGCGGCAGGUGCGCACGCGCGAGGGCGCAUUUGGACGCUCUGACGUCACCGGCACGCGCCGACCUCCCGCCCUGGCGCGCUUCCCCCCGCCCCCGCCACUCCUCUUCCCUCUGUACCCCGCUCCCCCUGCUCCUGCACCCCGCGCUCCAGUGUCGUUUCAAGAGCGCGCAUUUAUCCCGGGCAGCAUGGCCGCAGGAGCGCCCGGCGCGCGUCCACAGGCGGGCGCCGCCUCACAUGGACCCGCUCGCCCCACGACCCCCGUGUAGACAGGAGGUGCGGCUCCCACAGCGACAGGUCACAGGAACACUCGCUGGCCGGCCGUUCCAGCCAGCCUCGCGCUGCCAGCCUCGGGCUGGGGGACCCCACACCAAGCAUCAGCACCAUGAAAGAGGACCUAGAGACCCUGCUGGCCUUGGAACGGGCCAACAUCAUAGCCAAAUACACUCAGGUGAGGCCCAGAGAGGGACCAUCGACACUAGGAGCACCCACUGCAGAGGUGGGGCCCAGAGCCUGCAGGCACAGGGGAGGCCCAGGUGGGCCCAGAGCCAAGG